UGAACGCUGGCGGCGUGCUUAACACAUGCAAGUCGCACGAGAACGCUUCAGCUUGCUGAAGUUAGUAAAGUGGCGCACGGGUGAGUAACGCGUGGGUAAUCUACCUCCGGAUCGGGGAUAACAUUGCGAAAGCGAUGCUAAUACCGGAUAAUAUCUCUUGAACCUCGGUUUUUGAGAUCAAAGGUGGCCUCUCCUUGGAAGCUUCUGUUUGGGGAUGAGCCCGCGUACCAUUAGCUUGUUGGUAGGGUAACGGCCUACCAAGGCUGCGAUGGUUAGCUGGUCUGAGAGGAUGAUCAGCCACACUGGAACUGACACACGGUCCAGACUCCUACGGGAGGCAGCAGUGAGGAAUUUUGCGCAAUGGGGGAAACCCUGACGCAGCAACGCCGCGUGAGUGAUGAAGGCUUUCGGGUCGUAAAGCUCUGUCAAGUGGGAAGAAAUCACUUGGUGAUAAUACCACCAUGUAUUGACGGUACCACUGAAGGAAGCACCGGCUAACUCC
rnacentral:rRNA from 1 species